CUGCCUUCUUUUCCAAAAAUCUAGGCCUGCCUUCAGAGACCCGAGGUCAGACUUGAGUCACUCAAAGAAGAUAUUAAGGAAUUCUUUAAAAUAUCAGGUUGGGAGAAGAAACUUCAGAAUGCUGUUUAUAGUGAACUGAAUGUGUAUCCUUUGCCCAGUCAUCCUUCUGCACCUCCUGAGCAUCUCAAAGAACCUUUGGUGUACAUGAGGAAAGCACAGGGAAGCUGGGAAAAAAGAAUAUUGAAGAGUUUAAAUAGUAUGUGCACUGAACUGAGUAUCCCAUUGGCACGAAAGAGACCGGUUGGAGAACAGAAAGAACUUCUCAAUAAAUGGAAUGAAAUGGGAACUGAUGAGCCAGAUUUAAGCCUUUUUCGACCUGUCUAUGCACCUAAGGACUUUCUUGAGGUAUUAAUUAAUCUCCGCAACCCAAAUUAUGAAAAUGGUGAUUCUCUUAGUUUUAGGACUCAUUUGGGUUUAAUUCAAGUUCCUCUGAAAGUAAAAGACAUCCCUGAAUUGAAAGAAUGCUUUGUAGAACUUGGCUUAAGUACAGGACAACUGGGUAUAGAUGAUUCUACACAAGUGCCUCCUGAACUUUUUGAAAAUGAGCAUGUGCGUAUUGGGCAAAAAGUUCUAUUGCAGCAGGAUAGCGCUGCUGCCCAGCAGUACAUCCGACAAGGAAGUCCCACGGCACUGAGAGCUGAGCUCUGGGCACUCAUUUUGAAUAUCUCCAGUCAACCUGAGGACAUCCUGUAUUAUGAGCAGCUUAAGACCAACGUGAUACAGCAUGACCUUUUGGUGGACAGUCUAAUUUAUAAAGAUGUGAAGCUGACAGCAAGCAACGAUGAUUAUUAUUUUGUAUUUGAAGAUUAUUUAUAUCAGGUAUUACUUUGUUUUUCACGGGAUACGUCCGUACUGGGUCACUUUGCAUACAACAGUGCUUCACCACCGAAAUCAUACAUCAGAGGAAAGCUAGGGUUAGAAGAAUAUGCUGUCUUUUAUCCACCAAAUGGUGUAAUCCCUUUCCAUGGAUUUUCCAUGUAUGUUGCACCACUGUGUUUUCUGUAUCAUGAACCGUACAAAUUGUAUCAGAUAUUCCGUGAGAUGUACGUCCGCUUUUUCUUCAGACUCCACUCCAUCUCCUCUCAUCCUUCUGGUAUUGUGUCACUCUGCUUGCUGUUUGAAACUCUUCUUCAAACAUAUCUUCCCCAACUCUUUUAUCAUCUGAGAGAAAUCGGAGCUCAACCACUUCGUAUAUCAUUUAAAUGGAUGGUUCGAGCUUUUUCUGGAUACUUAGCUACAGAUCAACUCUUGCUUUUGUGGGAUAGAAUCCUAGGCUACAACUCUCUGGAAAUUCUUGCUGUGCUGGCAGCUGCCGUGUUUGCUUUCCGAGCAGUGAACCUGAUGGAGGUGACAUCACUGGCUGCAGCUGAAGUGCUACACCACUGGCGAAAAUGACCCCUUCCUCCAUCAGCCACUAACUGUCAAGAACUCCUCUGGGACAGUGAGGACCUUAUGAACCUCUUCCCCAUGAGAGUGGAAUUUUGACAGGCUUAAACUUGUGUAGGCCUCGUGAAGAUAACCACAACUGUGCAGUUCUGGCUGACCUUUCUACUUUAAAAGUUAUGCCUCUUCUUCAAAUUUUUCUGUUUGCUACUGUCACCUGAUCUUCGAGGUCACUGACAACACAUCUAGUUUUUCAUUAGCAACUAAUCAUGAACUAUGCAAACUCUGCAUACAACCAAAAUUAAACUUUGCAUAUAAGCCAAUAAAGAUCAUGUUCCAUCCUCAGUUAAAGCUAAGAAGUUUUUCACUUUUGAAACAAUAACCCUGCACACCAAAUACUGCGCUUGCAUGCUGAUUGAUGAUUGUCAAGAGAGAAGCAAUAGACAUCUCUUCUGCUGAGCCAAGCAUCCUACAGGCACAGAUUCCUAACUUGUAACAGGCACGUACCAUAUAUGCAAUAAGAACUAAAGGCACUAUAAUAAACUUCAAGAGGUAACACAACUUCUUGUCGGUUUGUAAACUUCUCCUAGAUAAUAGUUCUCUUUUAUAAAUUGCCCCUCACUAAAGCCAAUGAUGGGAUAGGACAUGAAAAUACUUGGAAAUAAUAAUGUGUUUGAGUGGGAAUUCAAAUGUGCUUUGGUAUUUUUUUAUUAAUUUUUAAUUUAUGAUGGAUUUUCAGAUCCCUUCCAUCUUCUUUCUCCAUUAAACAUCUGUAUUUGAAAAGUUAUACAGAUAUCUCCAUCCCCUAUUUUUUGUGUUUGUUUGAGACAGUUUUAUAUAACCCAGGCUCUCCUCAAACUCACUGUGUAGCAGAGGAUGACUGAAUUCCAGAUCCUCCUGCCUCCAUCUGCCAAGAGCUGGGAUUACAUGUGUGUUCCAUCCCACCUGCCUCCAUCUUAUAAUAUUUGUUUCUUCACUCUGGAAGUCAGAAGUGUAUAGAGGGAACCCUUUGCACGCUACCCUUCCAUCUUUUACAUAGAAGCCUCGACAGUGCUGAGGCCUGGUGCCAGACCUUAUUUCCUUGGAAGAAUCCAAGGAGGAACUAACUAUCAAAACCACAUUGGCUUUGCUGAAGCUCGGUCCUUCCACAUUGACUUCUGGAGCAGAACAGCUCAGAGACAGCACAAGUGUUCAUCCAUUCUAGAACUGAAGCCAUUGUUCAAGGCAUCAGGUAUUGAUUAGUGUUUAUUAUGAGCAAAAGGUUUGGUUUUAUAGUACUUUAAUGCUAUAUCAGUAUACGAAAUAAUAGGAUGUGAAAAAACAUUGUCUUCUGAUUUUAGAUGAAAAUUGAAGAUGCUGAUCACUCUAAUAAAACUCAAAUAAAUCAAUAGAUUGAUACUCUC